rnacentral:lncRNA from 1 species
UUUAUAUGUGUGUUGUUGUAUGUUUUUGUUGCAUCUCAGUGUUCCUGUUGUUUCCCCUUAUAGUUGAUGUGUUCCCUCGGUUUUGAUUCGUAAUCUGCAUUUGUCUUCUCACAAUCGAUUUAUGAACUUUUGAACAACGGUAUACAUCAUGUGUGUACUACUGUGUACCGAUUAUCAGGUUAUCUGCAUGUUGAUAUCGUAAAAUAUCAGCUGCGAGACAUAAUAUGAAGCUUUUUGUCGAGUGAGCGUAGCGAACGAGAUCAAAAAGCCUUCAUAUUAUGUCAAGCAGCUGAUAUUUUACAAUAUCAAUAUGCAGAUAAUCUGAUAAUCGAUUUAUCGGGCUAUAUUUGCGUGUUUCAGAAGUGUUUUCUUUGUUUCACCAGCACACAAAAGAUGACUUGAUAAGUUCGGUUCAAAGUUAUUAACGUCGGUUCAAACAUUAUGACGUCGCUGAUAUGUCCGGGUCAAAGUUAUUAAGGCCGGGUCAACGUAUUUGACGUCACAAAGACAUGAUACGGAAUAAUAUUAAGAGCUGAACAGAGUGAUAUAGACAGUGGGACGACCGAUAAUACCUCUUAU